rnacentral:rRNA from 1 species
UUGCACUCAAUUGGAAAGAGGAGUGGCGGACGGGUGAGUAACACGUGGGUAACCUACCCAUCAGAGGGGGAUAACACUUGGAAACAGGUGCUAAUACCGCAUAACAGUUUAUGCCGCAUGGCAUAAGAGUGAAAGGCGCUUUCGGGUGUCGCUGAUGGAUGGACCCGCGGUGCAUUAGCUAGUUGGUGAGGUAACGGCUCACCAAGGCCACGAUGCAUAGCCGACCUGAGAGGGUGAUCGGCCACACUGGGACUGAGACACGGCCCAGACUCCUACGGGAGGCAGCAGUAGGGAAUCUUCGGCAAUGGACGAAAGUCUGACCGAGCAACGCCGCGUGAGUGAAGAAGGUUUUCGGAUCGUAAAACUCUGUUGUUAGAGAAGAACAAGGACGUUAGUAACUGAACGUCCCCUGACGGUAUCUAACCAGAAAGCCACGGCUAACUACGUGCCAGCAGCCGCGGUAAUACGUAGGUGGCAAGCGUUGUCCGGAUUUAUUGGGCGUAAAGCGAGCGCAGGCGGUUUCUUAAGUCUGAUG